rnacentral:lncRNA from 1 species
UUCAUUGUAUCUAUCACAUAUUGUUAAAUGAAAAAGAUUUAAACUUCCAUAUGUCAUAUGUUUUUUUCCAUGCUUGAAUUUUGAAAUAAAAUUAAAUGUUUGUUCACAGGCUUCUGUAUUCCCGUAUGACAACAAAGACAUUGGUUUUAUGUCGUUGUUCAAGCUAUGGAAUGUUCGUCUAUAUUGAUUCGAUAUAGUCGAUAUCGACAACUAAGACAGAGGUUACAGGCAGUUGUUCAAGUUACAGGAUGUUUGUAGAUGUCGAUUCGAUUCUAUAUUGAUGAUAUCGACAACCAAGACAGAGGUUACAGGCAGUUGUUCAAGUUACAGGAUGUUUGUAGAUAUCGAUCCGAUUCUAUAUUGAUGAUAUCGACAACCAAGACAGAGGUUUAAGGCCGCUGUUCCAGUUAUGGAGUUUGUCGAUAUCGACAACAAAGACAGAGGUUUCAGGCUGUUGUUCAAGUUAUGGGAUGUUUGUCAAUAUAGAUUCGAUAUCGUAAUAUCAACAACGACAGAGGUUUAGGGAGAUGGAAUGCUUGUCGAUAUAGAUUUGAUAUCAACUUUUAAGACAGAGGAUUCAUGCCAUGUGGAUAUAACAACAUAAAUAUGAAAAGUCUUGUAUUGAUAUCGAAUCGAUAUCAUCGAUAUCGUUGAGAUAGACACAACAUCUUGUCUUGGACAUACCUCUAGACUUAAGCUUAGACUUAGAAUAAUGUGCAGACUGUACCUGACUAACACGCUUGU